UACGAAGGGGGCAAGCGUUGUUCGGAAUGACUGGGCGUAAAGGGCGCGUAGGCGGUUCGUUGCGUCAGAUGUGAAAGCCCCGGGCUCAACCUGGGAACUGCAUUUGAUACGGGCGGGCUUGAAUCCAAGAGAGGGUGGUGGAAUUCCCAGUGUAGAGGUGAAAUUCGUAGAUAUUGGGAAGAACACCAGUGGCGAAGGCGGCCACCUGGCUUGGUAUUGACGCUGAGACGCGAAAGCGUGGGGAGCAAACAGG
rnacentral:rRNA from 1 species